rnacentral:rRNA from 1 species
GACGAACGCUGGCGGCGUGCUUAACACAUGCAAGUCGAACGGAAAGGCCCUGCUUUUGUGGGGUGCUCGAGUGGCGAACGGGUGAGUAACACGUGAGUAACCUGCACUUGACUUUGGGAUAACUUCAGGAAACUGGGGCUCAUACCGGAUAGGAGCUCCUGCUGCAUGGUGGGGGUUGGAAAGUUUCGGCGGUUGGGGGUGGACUCGCGGCUUAUCAGCUUGUUGGUGUGGUAGUGGCUUACCAAGGCUUUGACGGGUAGCCGGGCUGAGCGGGUGACCGGCCACAUUAGGACUGAGAUACGGCCCAGACUCCUACGGGAGGCAGCAGUGGGGAAUGGUGCACUAUGGGCUGAAGCCUGAUGCAGCAACGCCGCGUGCGGGAUGACGGCCUUCGGUUUGUAUACCGCUUUCGCCUGUGACGAGGCGUGAGUGACGGUAAUGGGUAAAGAAGCACCGGCUAACUACGUG